UGGUUCUUGAGAUAACGUAAGGGAAAAAAUUGAUAGUACCUUACUAUAAGUGUUGUCCAACAUUACUGGUGCCAGAAGACUCGGUAACACCAGAAACGCAAACGUUAGUCGUCUUAAUCAGGCGUAAAGGGUAAGUAGGCUGCUUUAACAAUUAUAGAAUAGAAAGCUCUUUAAAUUAAAAUUUAAAGUAAAAAAAAAAAAAAUAAUAAAUUAAAGCUAGAAUCAAAUAGAGGAUAAGACAAAUAACGCUAAGAGUAAGGGUGAUUUCUUUAGAUACUUUGCGGAAUACUAAAGGGGAAAACUUUUAUCUAUUAUUGAUUGACGCUGAGGAACGAAGGUGAAAAUAAAAAACAGGAUUAGAGACCCAGGUAUCUCUCACUGUCAACGAUGAAUGGGGGUUGUUAGUUUAGCAAAAUAAACUAGAAACGAUGUUAACGCGAUAACCAUUCCGCCUUGCGAGUACG
rnacentral:rRNA from 1 species